rnacentral:lncRNA from 1 species
ACUGACUAUCAAAUGUAUAAUUGACAAAAAAAAGAUAAUUUAUCAAGGAGAAAAAAAGAUCAAAAGUAUGGAAGGAUAAGAUUUAAGUAAGUGUUUUUAGACUAUACUAACUGUGGUCUUAUCAACUUAGGUCAUUUGGUCUAAUGAUUGUUGUAAGAGAGAAAAUUAUUGUCUAAACCAGUAGUUCUUAGCCUACUAGAAUUCCCCAGGGAAUUUUUUAAAACCCCAGAUGGGUAGGUAUCACCUGGUCUUCAGACUAAUUAAAUUAGAAUCUCUGGGAUGGAACUAGGCAUCAACUUUUGUUUGCUUGUUUGUUUUUUAAGUACUCCUGGGUAUUACAAUGUACCAAAGGAUGAGGUAUCAAUGUGUGAAGCACUGUAGUUUCUACUAUAGCUCAUUUCUUUCUUGUGCUGCAAGAAAGAAAGAAGUAUCCCUAAAUUUAUACAUGCAGAAAGAUGACUUUAAAAGAGCAAAAAGUUUGCCUAAGGUCAUACAGCUCAUAGGCGGUAGAGCAGAGGUUCAGAGCCAGGACUCUCUAUUGGGUGACAUUCUCACUAAGAUGCACUGAAGCAUCUAGGCAGGAUCUCUUAGGGACUGGCUGAGUGGGGAUAGAGGUGCACCUAUGAACUCAAGAAAGCUCUUAUAAUAAACAUUGCCUCACACCCAUCUGCCACAAGGAUUCCCACUAUUCAGAAAUUUCUUUGAGUUACACCAAGGUUACCACACCCCCUAAAUAAUAAUCAGUGUUAUUGCUAUUACAGUUACUGAUGAUUGUGAACCUGUUACAUGUAAAACUCUCUUAGUUGUUUCACAUGCAUGACUUUGACUCUGCCUUACAUUCUGCAAGUCAGAUAUCAAAACACCCAUCCAACAGGGUGUUUCAACCUUGAUGAAAAAGAGGUUUUUAAAGGUAAGGUAACUUUCCCAAGGUCAUAUAAUUAGUAAAUGGCAGUGACACGAUAUAAAUCUGCUGUAUGCCUUUUUAAAAAUUUUUAUAUUAUGUUGUCCAAAGAAGUUAAAUAUGUUAACAUAACUACUAUCAACUACGAAUUUAGCUAAGAGUUUCAUCAUUGACUAAAGUCAUAAAAUAUGAGAGAGGUGAAUUAAAGGCAAGUGUGUGUGGGGGAUGUGCCGGUUUCAAAUUAUAUCCACCAAUUCUUCAAUAUUUCUCCCUUCAACAGAUAAAGUUUAACUUUCUUUUUUGGGGGUGUGAGUUGGACUUGGUGACUUGCUUCCAAUGACUAGAAUAUAGAAGAAAUAACAGUGCUAUGACUCCCAAGACUCAGUGAUAAAAGGCAUUGCUCACUCUGGGAAGAGCCAGUGGCGCUAUCAAAAGGCCUUCUGCCAACAGCCAUGUGAAUGAACCAUCUUGGAAGCAGAUCAUUUAGCCCCAUUCAAACCUUCAUGUGACUACAGGCUGCGUCAAAAGCUUGACUGAAACCUUAUGAGAGAUUCAGAGCUAGAAACACCCUGAUAAGCCACUCCCAAAUUUCCAACCCACAGAAACUAUGAAAUAAUUUUUUGAAAAAAUAUGCAUUAUCUUAAGCCACUAGGUUUUGGAAUUAUCUGUUAUAUAGCAAAAGAUAACAAAUGGGGGGAAAAAUGGAGGGAGGCAGAUAAUACAUGUCUAGAUUAUGAGGCUCAAUGAUGCACAAGAAUGAACAAUCCCAAGCACCCAGAGAUCUCAGGGGAGCACUGGGUCACUGAAUGAGGACAUGGGAAAGGGUGGGUGUCAAGAAAGGGUGAGAAGGGUCAUCAAUUAUUUAUAGUAACUCCUUUUUGAAGGAAAAAAGAAAUACCGGUUUAAGGGUGAAUUCCUUUUCCUGGGUUAUUACAGAGUUUGACAGCACUCGUAUGACAUACUAAAAGGCACCCAGCACCUGAAGCAAUAACGCAUCAUCCAGUCAAGCAAUUUACUUACUAGCAAGAUAUGACUACUGAAUCACAGAGGAUCAAAAAUGUCCCUCAGUAUGUGGAAACAUAAGGCAGGAAAGUCAAAAUCACUUGCAGCAAAGUUUGUGUUUCUGAAAUCAGUGUGGAUUCAGAAAUAGUCCUCUUUGGAUUAUGAUACUUAAAGGUUGAAACAGCAGGACUUCUAAAGUCCUUUUUCUAUUGUAUAUAGUUCACUAAGUUCACAAGAAUAUGAUGUAAUUAAUGUGGACUGCUUUGACCUGAGUGAAAAGUGACAUGUAACAGCCCUUUUCCUAUUUACCUUCAGUCCUAUACCCAUUUACCUUAAAGCAAAAUGGUAUUUAUAUCUUAACAAAUAACUGUAUCUACUACAAAGAGAUACAGAUAUUUGAGGUUCAGCAUUUCAAUUUUCCUUGUUCAGGUUUUCAGUUGGGGAAUGUCCAGAUUCUAGACUCUGAGUUCCAUAUACUGUGUCCUAACGAGUCUGUUAGGGAAACACUGGGGAGAUAACAGGAUAUACUGAUUUUGUUCUUGCCAGUAAAUCACCUCCCCAGGUAACUGUCCUUAUAAUAAAAAUGCCAGCUGGGUGGCAAGUCUCUAUGCCAAGAAAAGGUUGUAUUUUAGCCCUCUUGUGCAUUCAGUACAGAUUUUAAAAUCACAAGGAAGAGGAAAAAAUAGAAUAAACUCCUGCUGAAUAAAGGAUAAUACAAUGGGGAAAAGAAAAUAAUUUGGAACUAUUCUUUGUAAUGCACCUCUGGCAUUGCAAUUGAUGCUGUAAAGAGCAGAUGCAUCAUGUUUUCUUAAGAAAAUGAAUUGAUCACAUCAGUGACUGACGAUCCAAUCUCUGUUUGCCAUUGGUUAAUAGAACUUUCUUCACGUGGUGAUCAUUUAUAACAACACUCUUUCAAAAAUAUAUAUAAAUGUCUGUGGAAGGAUUUCAUAAAGUUUAAAAACAAAGAGAAACAUCCCUUUUUAUACGCUUCAUACAGCCUCCAUUCUCAUAACCGCUAAAUCUUUUUACCAUGAAUGAAAGAAGGAAAGGAAAGAACAGAAAUGGGCUGAAAAAUAGGAUUGUAGAGGAGAAGGGAAUAUAAAUAAGGUGUUCUUGUUAAAAAAAAAAAAACCCAAAAAACAAAAAACAAAGAGUUCAAAGUUGCUGCCAUGGUGGCGCAGUAGGUUAGGGAUUGAGAGUUGUCUCUGAGGUGGCGUGGGUUCCAUCCCUGUCCUGGAGCAGUGGCUUAAGGAUUUGGCAUUGCUGUAGUGGUGGUGUAGGUCACAGCUGUGGCUCAGAUUCAAUCCAUAGGAGUUUCUGUAUGCCACAGGUCUGGCCAAAAAAAGAAAAAGAAAAAGGAAAGAGUUUUGGAGAAUGUUCUGGAAUAGCUUUUUCAUUUUCUUGUGGCUGGGGUCCUUGGCCUUCAUCUAUAGGUCAAUAAUAUCACUGUGAUUAACCCAUGUAUGGCCUCAGAAAGAAGGGACUGAAGAAGAUCAGGUUCAAUGAUCUGUGUCUGAGCAGCAAGUCAACCUAAAGUUAUUUGGUUUUGUAGUCAAGUAUCCUCACCCUGUUCCCAAGAUCAGUCUCCACUUGGAUCACAUUCAUGAUACUUGAAUUCUUUCUGUGUUUAGAACCUCAAAAGCAAAGUAUUGCCUCACUUCACCUAUGUCCCCACUUCCAAGUGAGUAGAGAUGUCUGUUCCUCACCAUUGCCUGUUCAUUGAAUCCCCAUCAACACACUGGCUUUUCCUCUCAGGACCAGGCAAAAUUCACUUUUAUUCUGUGAAUAUUCUCAGCUAAUCAACAGACUUAACAAGCACAGCUGUUAGUAGCUAGCUUUUCCAGAAAGGCUAGAAUUAUCCUAACCUCAUCUCCUCCCACACCUGCAUCCCAUUUCCUUAACUUUCAGAUCUUACUCCAUUUAUUUAUUUAUUUAUUUUCUUUUUACAGCCAUACCUAUAGCAUAUGAAAUUUCCCAGGCUAGGGGUCUAAUCUGAAGCGUCAAGCCGAUACAACAGCCACAGCAAUACGGAAUCUGAGCCACACCUGCAAACUAUGUCACAGCUUGCAGCAAUGCGACAACUUUAACCUGCUGAGCAAGGCCAAGGAUGGAACCCAAAUCCUCAUGGACACUGUAUAGGGUUCUGAACCUGCUGAGCCACAUUGGAAACUCCAGAUCUUACCCCAUUUUAGGGUGCCUCAUUCCACUGAUAUUAUAUCAAGCCACUUCCUGAGGUACCACAUUUCCCUUAGUCAGUGUGAAGUAAUGGAAUUCAAACCAAAGUCUCAUUUUCUCACAGUAUAAACAGGGAAAAGCUUUUCUUCUUCAGUCCAUCAAACAUCAAAUUCUGAGGCAAAUUUUUUUGUCUUUAAAAAAAGUUUCUACUGUUUAAAAGAGGGACUUUGAUUGAUCAAUUGAUUCACCAGUCCCAAAUAGCAAUGACAUUUCUAAAGACUGUAAGGCAUCUUCAAAUACCAGGUUAUGGAUAUCUGUGGAGAUUCACAAGACCAGGAGAGCUGUCAUGCCACUGGCUCAAUUCCAUCUGCUUGCUGGUUUGCUAGUUAACAGUUAUGCAAUAUAUAUUUGCUCACUUUCCAUGCAAAGAUGGACACAUAAGAGUUUAACAUUUGAUGGGAAAGAAAUCCUUAAGACGUAGAUAAAUAUAAUUUAAAACAAACUUCUGUCCGAAAAGUAGCACUCUCAUCCUCUUUCAUUAACAAUA